rfam:Ornithorhynchus anatinus chromosome X1, whole genome shotgun sequence.
CCCCUCUCAGUGUCGCACCUGGAGAGUUUCCAGUACUCUACCAGUCUCAGUUAUGGGAGGGAGAGUCAAGCAGAGCCCUUUCCAUUCCAUUCCUAGCUUGGCCAGUGGCUAGUGAGUGGAAAGCAAUCUGCUACAUGU